UGAGGAAUAUUGGUCAAUGGGCGAGAGCCUUAACCAGCCAAGUAGCGUGCAGGAUGACGGCCCUAUGGGUUGUAAACUGCUUUUAUGUGGGGAUAAAGUGCGUGACGUGUCAUGCAUUGCAGGUACCACAUGAAUAAGGACCGGCUAAUUCCGUGCCAGCAGCCGCGGUAAUACGGAAGGUCCGGGCGUUAUCCGGAUUUAUUGGGUUUAAAGGGAGCGUAGGCUGUCUAUUAAGCGUGUUGUGAAAUUUACCGGCUCAACCGGUGGCUUGCAGCGCGAACUGGUCGACUUGAGUAUGCAGGAAGUAGGCGGAAUUCAUGGUGUAGCGGUGAAAUGCUUAGAUAUCAUGACGAACUCCGAUUGCGCAGGCAGCUUACUGUAGCAUAACUGACGCUGAUGCUCGAAAGUGCGGGUAUCAAACAGG
rnacentral:rRNA from 1 species